rnacentral:miRNA from 1 species
GUGACGGCCGGCCCCGCCUCUUCCUCUCGGUCCCAUAUUGAACCCGAGUUGGAGGCGGCGAGUCCGGUCUCAAA